rnacentral:rRNA from 1 species
UGAAAGCAUCUAAGCGGGAAACCCACCUCAAGACUAGAUAUCCCGGGUCGUAAGACCCCUGAAGACCCCCGGUAGACUACCGGGUUGAUAGGCUGGGCGUGUAAGGGUGGUAACAUCCUGAGCUAACCAGUACUAAUAGGUCGUGAGGCUUAACCAC